UUGAACAAGUGCGAGCCACAUUUAGACUGCAAAUGAAACAAGCAACUCGGCUGGGUGUCCGGUUUCAUCCCGAAACUUUGUGAGGCGUGCAGCAUUGUGCCAGGGCCUUCCCAAGGUGGUGGUUAAGAUUUGUACACAGACUUUCUAAAUGAGGAUCUGAAGCUUAUAAAACCGAGCCCACCUCCAAUAUGAAAUCUCUGCUUGCUCAUGCUAACUUUCAAAGAUUAGAACCAUCUAAAACUUCUCCAUCUGUGCUGAAGCAAGGAAGGUUGAAUGGCAAACUGGACGUGUCUGCUGGUGACUUCAAUCCUGGUAAAAGCAGCUGAGACUACAGACAGUGGAUCUGGAUACCAGCACUGACAAGAUGAGGAAAUGAAGGCACACAGCAGUCCAUGAGCUUGUCUAAGGUCACACAGCUAACUGCUGGGGAAAUCUGAUUUCAAACCCAAGUAUUCUGGCUCCAGCGUCCAGUCUCUCUGAGCUAUAUGCACUUCAUCUUUACUUCUGCAUGUGUGUCCCUGAGCCCGAGAGAAUCCCAGUGCAUAUGUAAUUUACAUGACCCUUCAGAGUCCACCCCGUCGUGACACACAGUGAAAUGAGAGGCUCUUCAGUGUGAAACCACAGGGCACUCGAUGUCACGGGGGAUAGAAACACUGCUUCUUAUUGUGCAUGUUACUGGUAAAAAGCAAAACAAGUUUGGAAGCAUCUUUUUAAAAAGAGAAAUACU